AACUUUCAACACCGGAUCUCUUGGCUCUCGCAUCGAUGAAGAACGCAGCGAAAUGCGAUAAGUAAUGUGAAUUGCAGAAUUCAGUGAAUCAUCGAAUCUUUGAACGCACCUUGCGCUCUUUGGUAUUCCGAAGAGCAUGCCUGUUUGAGUGUCA
rnacentral:rRNA from 1 species